CAGUCGCCGCGGUAAAACGUAGGUGGCAAGCGUUGUCCGGAAUUAUUGGACGUAAAGGGCUCGCAGGCGGUUUCUUAAGUCUGAUGUGAAAGCCCCCGGCUCAACCGGGGAGGGUCAUUGGAAACUGGGAAACUUGAGUGCAGAAGAGGAGAGUGGAAUUCCACGUGUAGCGGUGAAAUGCGUAGAGAUGUGGAGGAACACCAGUGGCGAAGGCGACUCUCUGGUCUGUAACUGACGCUGAGGAGCGAAAGCGUGGGGAGCGAACAGGAUUAGAUACCCGGGUAGUCCCUGUCUCUUAUAC
rnacentral:rRNA from 1 species